rnacentral:rRNA from 1 species
AGAGUUUGAUCAUGGCUCGGGAUGAACGCUAGCGGCAGGCUUAACACAUGCAAGUCGAGGGGCAGCGGGGUGUAGCAAUACACUGCCGGCGACCGGCGCACGGGUGCGUAACGCGUAUGCAACCUACCCAUAACGAGGGGCAUAACACUGAGAAAUUGGUACUAAUUCCCCAUAACAUUCGAAGAGGCAUCUCUUUGGGUUAGAAAACUCCGGUGGUUAUGGAUGGGCAUGCGUUGUAUUAGCUAGUUGGG